rnacentral:rRNA from 1 species
CCUACGGGAGGCAGCAGUGGGGAAUAUUGGGCAAUGGGCGCAAGCCUGACCCAGCAACGCCGCGUGAGGGAAGAAGGCUUUCGGGUUGUAAACUUCUUUUCGCAGGGACGAAGAAAGUGACGGUACCUGAGGAAUAAGCCACGGCUAACUACGUGCCAGCAGCCGCGGUAAUACGUAGGUGGCAAGCGUUAUCCGGAUUUAUUGGGUGUAAAGGGCGUGUAGGCGGGGGCGGAAGUCAGAUGUGAAAACUCAGGGCCCAACCCUGGGCCUGCAUUUGAAACUGUGUUUCUUGAGUGCUGGGGAGGCAAUCGGAAUUCCGUGGGUAGCGGUGAAAUGCG